rnacentral:rRNA from 1 species
GGUGAUAUGAACCGUUAUAACCGGCGAUUUCCGAAUGGGGAAACCCAGUGUGAUUCGUCACACUAUCAUUAACUGAAUCCAUAGGUUAAUGAGGCGAACCGGGGGAACUGAAACAUCUAAGUACCCCGAGGAAAAGAAAUCAACCGAGAUUCCCCCAGUAGCGGCGAGCGAACGGGGAGGAGCCCAGAGCCUGAAUCAGCAUGUGUGUUAGUGGAAGCGUCUGGAAAGGCGCGCGAUACAGGGUGACAGCCCCGUACACAAAAGCGCAUGUGCUGUGAGCUCGAUGAGUAGGGCGGGACACGUGGUAUCCUGUCUGAAUAUGGGGGGACCAUCCUCCAAGGCUAAAUACUCCUGACUGACCGAUAGUGAACCAGUACCGUGAGGGAAAGGCGAAAAGAACCCCGGCGAGGGGAGUGAAAAAGAACCUGAAACCGUGUACGUACAAGCAGUGGGAGCACAGGUUUACCUGUGUGACUGCGUACCUUUUGUAUAAUGGGUCAGCGACUUAUAUUCUGUAGCAAGGUUAACCGAAUAGGGGAGCCGGAGGGAAACCGAGUCUUAAUUGGGCGUUAAGUUGCAGGGUAUAGACCCGAAACCCGGUGAUCUAGCCAUGGGCAGGUUGAAGGUUGGGUAACACUAACUGGAGGACCGAACCGACUAAUGUUGAAAAAUUAGCGGAUGACCUGUGGCUGGGGGUGAAAGGCCAAUCAAACCGGGAGAUAGCUGGUUCUCCCCGAAAGCUAUUUAGGUAGCGCCUCGUGAAUUCAUCUCCGGGGGUAGAGCACUGUUUCGGCUAGGGGGCCAUCCCGGCUUACCAACCCGAUGCAAACUGCGAAUACCGGAGAAUGUUAUCACGGGAGACACACGGCGGGUGCUAACGUCCGUCGUGAAGAGGGAAACAACCCAGACCGCCAGCUAAGGUCCCAAAGUCAUGGUUAAGUGGGAAACGAUGUGGGAAGGCCCAGACAGCCAGGAUGUUGGCUUAGAAGCAGCCAUCAUUUAAAGAAAGCGUAAUAGCUCACUGGUCGAGUCGGCCUGCGCGGAAGAUGUAACGGGGCUAAACCAUGCACCGAAGCUGCGGCAGCGACACUGUGUGUUGUUGGGUAGGGGAGCGUUCUGUAAGCCUGUGAAGGUGUGUCGUGAGGCAUGCUGGAGGUAUCAGAAGUGCGAAUGCUGACAUAAGUAACGAUAAAGCGGGUGAAAAGCCCGCUCGCCGGAAGACCAAGGGUUCCUGUCCAACGUUAAUCGGGGCAGGGUGAGUCGACCCCUAAGGCGAGGCCGAAAGGCGUAGUCGAUGGG